AUGCCGCACCUCUCACCGCCGCCGCCAUCCCUUAUCUGCAAGAGGAACGGAGAGAAAAAGAGUCCCUUAGGCAGGAAGUCCUUCCAUUGUGGGUUUCAAGAUAGGAGUCUAGCACAGCUGUCCUCUGAGAGGCAGCUGACUCAGACAGAUGCAUAGACCUACAGCCAAACAGUGGAUGGAGCUUGGGGGACUCUUACGGAAGAAUAAGACGAAGGAUUGUGGGCCCUGAAGGAGCUAGGAACCAACAGAGUAAAAUAACCUGGACUCUUACGGCUCUCAGAAGACUGAACCAUCAACCAAAGAGCUUACCCAGGCUGGCCCUGGGCCUUUCUGCACAUAUAUAACAGAUGAGCAGCUUAGUCUUCAUGUAGACCAAAACAACUGGGGCAGGGGGCUGUUGCCUGUAUAUAAGAUGUGUCCUUCUAGCUGACUGUCUUUUCUAGCCUCAGUGGGAGAGGAAGCACCUAGCUUUGCGGAGACUCGGUGUGCAAGGGUGUGGGAGCGGCACACAGAGGACUCCCACCUGCUCAGAGGAGAAAGGGGUGAGGAUUGUGGGAGAGGGUGGUCGGGAGUGGGGGGCGGUGAGGUGCACAUAAAGUGAAAGUAAAAACAAAACAAAACAAAAAACAAUUUAAAGGUGUCUGGAUUUUCCUGUACACAAAACUGUGUCACACGCC
rnacentral:lncRNA from 1 species